AUUGAACGCUGGCGGCAGGCCUAACACAUGCAAGUCGAGCGGAUGAAGGGAGCUUGCUCCUGGAUUCAGCGGCGGACGGGUGAGUAAUGCCUAGGAAUCUGCCUGGUAGUGGGGGAUAACGUCCGGAAACGGGCGCUAAUACCGCAUACGUCCUGAGGGAGAAAGUGGGGGAUCUUCGGGCCUCACGCUAUCAGAUGAGCCUAGGUCGGAUUAGCUAGUUGGUGGGGUAAAGGCCUACCAAGGCGACGAUCCGUAACUGGUCUGAGAGGAUGAUCAGUCACACUGGAACUGAGACACGGUCCAGACUCCUACGGGAGGCAGCAGUGGGGAAUAUUGGACAAUGGGCGAAAGCCUGAUCCAGCCAUGCCGCGUGUGUGAAGAAGGUCUUCGGAUUGUAAAGCACUUUAAGUUGGGAAGAAGGGCAGUAAGUUAAUACCUUGCUGUUUUGACGUUACCAACAGAAUAAGCACCGGCUAACUUCGUG
rnacentral:rRNA from 1 species